rnacentral:rRNA from 1 species
AUUGACGCUGGCGGCAGGCCUAACACAUGCAAGUCGAACGAGUGGCGGACGGGUGAGUAAUGUCUGGGAAACUGCCCGAUGGAGGGGGAUAACUACUGGAAACGGUAGCUAAUCCCGCAUACCAUCGGAUGUGCCCAGAUGGGCUUAGCUAGUAGGUGGGGUAAAGGCUCACCUAGGCGACGAUCCCUAGCUGGGCUGAGAGGAUGACCAGCCACACUGGAACUGAGACACGGUCCAGACUCCUACGGGAGGCAGCAGUGGGGAAUAUUGCACAAUGGGCGCAAGCCUGAUGCAGCCAUGCCGCGUGUAUGAAGAAGGCCUUCGGGUUGUAAAGUACUUUCAGCGGGGAGGCGUUACCCGCAGAAGAAGCACCGGCUAACUCCGUGCCAGCAGCCGCGGUAAUUC